UAGGUGUAUCCUUCAAUAUAACACAUGCGAUGAAAUUAUUGCUAAUGUUUUGAACUUCAUUCUUGAGGAAGUGUGUGAUUUUGGAGUCACUGCCAAAACGUAUAGACUUGCAUGUGCUUAACAUUGGUUAGCCACUAUGAAAGUAUAACCACGAUGUGAUGUGGUCCUUGCGGAAGUGUUGUGACACUCAAUCAUUGCCAUACAUUAUGGGAUCCAUCUUGAUGGAUGGACGACACUAUAAUUAGAAAUAGUGGCGUAGGCUCCAUUGCCAUGUAUUUUAUCAAUGUAACAGAAGUUAAUUACACGUAUAUGUGAAUAUUUUCGUAGUUUCCUAUGACAUAUUCAAGCAAAGUGUGCAAGAAUAAUAUUUACUAUCAAAGUAAAAUAUAUUAGUUAACAACAAC
rnacentral:lncRNA from 1 species